rnacentral:lncRNA from 1 species
GUGUCACCAUGGCCACCGCCCCUCCUGGUGUACUGUAAGAACAAGCUCUGUUCAAAGUCUGGCUUCGGUCGAGGUGUGGAUGCUAAGAUCCACAUCUUUGACCUGGGGCAGAAGAAGCCAAAAGAAGCUGAGUUCCCACUCUGUGGCCACAGUGUCAGAUGCGUAGGAGCCACUUUCCUCUGAAGCGCUGGAGGCUGCCCGUAUUUGUGCCAGCAAGUACAUGGUGAAAAGCAGUGGCAAAGAUGGCAUUCACAUCCAAAUGUGGCUCCACCCCUUCCAUGUUAUCCACAGGAACAAGACGCUAUGCUCUGCUGGAGCUAAUGGGCUCCAGACAGGUAUGCACAGUGGCCAGGGUCGACACUGGCCAAGUCAUAGUGUCCAUCCGCACCAAGCUGCGGAACAAGGAGCAUGUGAGUAAGGCCCUCCCUAGGGCCAAGUUCAAGUUCCCUGGCUGCCAGAAGAUCCACAUCUCCAAGAAGUGGAGAUUUACCAAGUAUAAUGCCAGUGAAUUUGAAAACACGAUAGAAAAGCAGCCCAUCCAGGGUGGCUGUGGAGUCAAAUACAUCCCUGGUCAUGUUCCCUGGACAAAUGGUGGGCCCUGCGCUCAUGAG